rnacentral:rRNA from 1 species
UGGGGAAUUUUGGACAAUGGGGGCAACCCUGAUCCAGCAACGCCGCGUGAAGGAUGAAGGUCUUCGGAUUGUAAACUUCUUUUGCAGGGGACGAAAGAUCACGUGAAGAGCGUGAAGUGACGGUACUCUGCGAAUAAGCCACGGCUAACUACGUGCCAGCAGCCGCGGUAAUACGUAGGUGGCAAGCGUUACUCGGAAUUACUAGGCGUAAAGCGCAGGUAGGUGGUUGGGUAAGUCUGUAAUGAAAUCUCCCGGCUUAACUGGGAGGGGUUUAUAGAAACUGUCUGACUCGAGUGUGGGAGAGGUAACUGGAAUUCCUGGUGUAGCGGUGAAAUGCGUAGAUAUCAGGAGGAACACCAAUGGCGAAAGCAGGUUACUGGCCCAAUACUGACACUGAGCUGCGAAAGCUAGGGGAGCAAACAGGAUUAGAUACCCCCGUAGUCC